AGGCUUGUAGCUCAGGUGGUUAGAGCGCACCCCUGAUAAGGUGAGGUCGGUGGUUCAAGUCCACUCAGGCCUACCA
rnacentral:tRNA from 3 species